UCAUCAAUGAAAAUUUCUCCAGUUCGAGAUAACGUUGCAACGAGCAAAAUCCUUGAGAUGUUAGAUCCCAUAUCGGGAAAGUGGCAGGAAUUCCGAGCAAACGGGACACCCUGUAUUCGUUUGGUUGUGUAAUCGGCCUUAAGGAUAAACGGACGCACACACAUUUAAGUACCAUUCGCAAGUAGGGAGGUUCGUAUCACAAAACGGCCAAGUGAAAGGAUAGGCACCAGUUCAUCUUGUGUCUCAACCUCCAACCAACCUUCUCGAAUAUAUCCAUUCGUGCUGCAAGUGCGUCAGCUAUUCGCAUAAAACAACGGUUAAUUCGAAUUCACGUCGUUCACUCGGCGAGCGAAACGAGAAACGCAGUUAUAUUAUUUCUUUGACUAUUUUUUCAGAAGGAAAAUACAUUCUGUUUAUUCGUUGCUUGUUUUACGAGGGCACGCAUAAGUUAUUACAUAAAUUUCUACCAUUCAUGGUGAUGCACAGACAUGGAUAGAAGAAUUAAAAAAAGUUACACAACAGCUAAAAGAUGCUACAAAUUCACCUUCUAUAAUUCUCAACAGGAAAUUUCAGCAAGUAUUUCCCUCAAUUUACCUAACACUACAAAAGAAUCAGCCAACAAUUUAUCAUCACACGACAUCUUUCUCUUAUUUCGAUCUUCAUCUACCAACGUGUAAUUAAGGAUCAUGAAUAUUCGACCGCCAUUCCGUUUCCUUUUUUCCAUCGAUCUAAACUAUCAGGAUCUCGAUCUAGAUAACUGACUAUAACAUUUCCACGAGCAAUUCAAUUUUACAUAGAAGGAAAAGCGAAAUCUGAAUCAACGAUAUUCUCAGACGUUGAACAUCUUCGAAAGCGUGCACAACAUCUGUUCGCCUUAACUGUGAAAUCACCCCCAAUUUCCAACGUGGAAAGAAACCUUUCGAACUCAACUCGACUGGACAAAAUAACGAUGAAAUCACAGAGGAACGCGCCGCUUGCACGGAUCGAGGAUGCACCUGCAUCUGGUGCAUUUUCGGAUGGAUCACUGGCCAGAUGUCUCUCAUACCCGUGUCAAGCUUUGGUACACGUUUCUGGCUGUUGUUCAAAAUUAUCCAGAAUUCGAUUAUUCUUUUUGAAGUGAAUUUGCAAAUAAUUUAACAUAGACAUAAUUUAACAUUUUAAAUAUUGUUCACUGCUUUGAUUGAGUGCUGUUAUGUGAAAUGUUGUAUUCAUUGAAUUGAUAAUAUGAAUAAUAAUGA